UACGGAGGGGGUUAGCGUUGUUCGGAAUUACUGGGCGUAAAGCGCACGUAGGCGAACUGGAAAGUUGGGGGUGAAAUCCCGGGGCUCAACCCCGGAACUGCCUCCAAAACUUCCAAUCUAGAGAUCGAGAGAGGUGAGUGGAAUUCCAAGUGUAGAGGUGAAAUUCGUAGAUAUUUGGACGAACACCAGUGGCGAAGGCGGCUCACUGGCUCGAUACUGACGCUGAGGUGCAAAAGCGUGGGGAGCAAACAGGAUUAGAAACCCUAGUAGUCC
rnacentral:rRNA from 1 species